GGUGGGGGGUCUCUCUCUCUUACGGGGAUCUGAGCGCCGCGGCGGGGACGGGGCACCUGCAGCCGCCGCGGCCCCGGAGGCUUCACAGGGCUGCCCGUGCCCGGCCGCCUUGCCGGCGGCGGGCCCUCACGUCCUUCUCAAGCCGCUUGGGCUGGUCCCUUCCCCUUCUGCGUUAGGGCAGGCAUGAUCAAAGUUACAAGAUAAAGAAAAAGCUCUUCGUCCUUAGGGUUUAUGUAUUUCUCCCACUUCUCUUGAAUGUUUCCAGCACUUCGUGUAGCAUGCCCGUAGGACGGGGUCCGAUGCUUUCGUUGUUCAGACCUGCUGUGCAUGUGCUGUAGCGAAACAGCCUGUUGGUGCAGUAAACUUUGGCUUCCACGAGUGUAAAAUAGAAGAGAAUACUUGGACUGAUUGGACUCCUUCCUUCUGCCGUUGUUGCCCGGGGUUUGUUGCCAUCCUGGAUCUGUUUCCUGUUUGCAUUUUGCUGGGCUGGUAUUGGUAGAUCACCUGAGAGCCCCACCCCACUCCCAGUUCAUGCCUGGCCUUCACUGAAGAGCUGAAAACCUGACAAGCUGUUGUCCUUGUUUUCCUUUGUGACACAUUGCAGAGCUGCCUUGUUACAAAGUAGUUGUUUGUGUUCUGGGGCUCUCACCUGUGGAAAUUUGAUGUAUGGCUCACUGUGUAGAGUUUCCUCACUCCUGUAAUAUUUCAUCCUCCCACUCGGACUGCUGUAACACCCUAAUUUCUGGCCAUAAAUCUAAACCAAAAGUUAACUAGUUAGACUAUAUGUAAAUAUUUCUCAUUAAUUGUAGAAAGAGAAGGUGCAACAUGUUUUUCUUUACUAUAUUUAAACAUUUAUUUAAAAAAAAAUUACUCUCCAAGGUGCUUUUUUGGUACCUGGAUUACCUUGAUAAAAAUGAGUGGAAUACUCUGAUGUUUACAGUAGUAACUCCUGGGGGCUAACAGACUCUGAGAAUUCUUGAGUUCUGCAACAUCAUUAACAAAAUUAGUAGUCAGGCCAGUAGUAGAUUCCAGGCUUAAAAGCAGGUUAUACUGAUUGUAGGACUGAGUGAUAUCUUAAGCAGAGUAGCUAAGUGAACUAUUAUGGUUAAGUAAACAAAAAUGCAGCAGAAUGAGAGGUUUCUGAGUAAGCUGUAUGCUGAUAGAUUACAGCAUUAUCAGAGUCUGCAAGUCAAAAAUGGUGUAAGAAAAGGCGGUGGCAGCCUGUAGUCUAAUUUAUGCAGGUAUUUGAAGAGGGAAAUUCAGGUAGAAUAAAGAUUUAUUGGGAAGAAGGUGGAAACAAAAGGGAAGGUAGUUCAUUUAUAUUUUCCAAAGACAUACUGCAAAUCACUUUGAUUAUAUUUACACUACUGGGACUGGGCUGCCCCUCUUCUCUCUGAAACCACCUCUUUCCAGAUGGUGUAAAUCUGGCAAGUCAUGGAUGUGGCUACUUUCGGAUGUCACCUAAAGCAAAAUAUAGGUUGUGUUCACAUUGUACCAUAGCUCAGAUUUCCCUCUGUCCACAGCAUAUUGGGAGCACAGUGAUAUCUGGAAGGAAUCUCUGAUCCUUCCUUUCCUGCCCCAAACAGAGGCUUAUGAAUGAUAACAUGCGCCAGUAAAUCUGAAACAAGUCUUCAGUCUUGAUACUGCUCCAUUUUGAUGCAAUGACUACUUUUCUGUAGAUCUCAAUAGAAAGCCAUAAUGCUUUUAUCAAUUCCUACUGCAAAUAAGUUUUCCCCCAGAAUGACCGUUUUAAGAAAUCCUGCUUUGAAGUCGUAAUUUUAAAGGUGGUUUACGUAAGAAAUAAUGCCUAUAGAAUGAUUGAUCAUUGUUUUUAAAUAAGCACUUGUACAAUGUCAUUGUCUUAGACAUUCUAGUCAGUUAAUUUUUUUAAAAAAUCUUGGUGUUCAGAAUACUGUGUUUUACUUUAGAUUCCACUUUUUUCUGCUUUAUACUUAACUCCUACAAUUCUCCUGUCAUUAUCUUAUUAAAAUAUAUACAUGAAAACAUAUAUAUGUAUCUAUGAACAAAGUCUUUACAACCUUUUAAAAAACAUUUUGCAUUAGCUUCUUUAAAGCUUGGUGUUUUCUGAGAGUAGUAAGUGCUAUUAAAUGCAAAAAAGAAAAAAAUCUACUACUUUUGUC